GUCCACGCCGUAACGAUGUCGAUUGGAGGCUGUGUCCUUGAGACGUGGCUUCCGGAGCUAACGCGUUAAUCGACCGCCUGGGAGUACGGCCGCAAGGUUAACUCAAUGAAUUGACGGGCCCGGCACAAGCGGUGGAGCAUGUGGUUAAUUCGAUGCAACGCGAAGAACCUUACCUGGCCUUGACAUGUCUGGAAUCCUGUAGAGAUACGGGAGUGCCUUCGGGAAUCAGAACACAGGUGCUGCAUGGCUGUCGU
rnacentral:rRNA from 1 species